GUGAAUCAUCGAAUCUUUGAACGCACCUUGCGCUCCUUGGUAUUCCGAGGAGCAUGCCUGUUUGAGUAUCAUGAAGUUCUCAACCUUUUCAGCUUUUUUUCUAUGAGAGGCUGAUCAGGCUUGGAUGAUGGGAGUUUUGCAGGCUUCACAGAAUGUCUGCUCUCCUUAAAUGCAUCAGCUGGAACCUGUUGUUGGCCAGCCUCCGGUGUGAUAAUUAUCUACACCAUGGCUGUCAGGCAUGUUACAUCCUCUUGUUGAGGGAGGUUCUGCUUCUAACAGUCUCUUUUUGAGACACUUUUGACAAUCUUUGAUCUCAAAUCAGGUAGGACUACCCGCUGAACUUAAGCAUAUCAAUAAGCGGAGGA
rnacentral:misc_RNA from 1 species